AGUUGGAUUCGCUAGUAAUCGCGCAUCAGCCAUGGCGCGGUGAAUACGUUCCCGGGCCUUGUACACACCGCCCGUCAAGCCAUGGGAGCCGGGGGCGCCUGAAGUCCGGGACCGCGAGGACCGGCCUAGGGCGAAACUGGUAACUGGGGCUAAGUCGUAACAAGGUACC
rnacentral:rRNA from 1 species